GAUGAACGCUAGCGGCAGGCUUAACACAUGCAAGUCGAGGGGUAACAUUGUAGCUUGCUAUAGAUGACGACCGGCGCACGGGUGAGUAACGCGUAUGCAACCUACCUUCAACAGGGGAAUAGCCCGAAGAAAUUCGGAUUAAUGCCCCAUAGUAUUGAGAUAUGGCAUCAUAUUUCACUUAAAACUGAGGUGGUUGAAGAUGGGCAUGCGUAACAUUAGUUAGUUGGUAAGGUAAUGGCUUACCAAGACGAUGAUGUUUAGGGGUUCUAAAAGGAAGGUCCCCCACACUGGUACUGAGACACGGACCAG
rnacentral:rRNA from 1 species